UCCCCGUUAUCCGGGGCGGUUUCACUAGAGUGCCCAGCUUGACCUGAUGGCAACUAGGGAUAAGGGUUGCGCUCGUUGCGGGACUUAACCCAACAUCUCACGACACGAGCUGACGACAGCCAUGCAGCACCUGUGUUCCGAUUCCCGAAGGCACCCUCGCAUCUCUGCAAGGUUCCGGACAUGUCAAGGCCAGGUAAGGUUCUGCGCGUUGCAUCGAAUUAAACCACAUACUCCACCGCUUGUGCGGGCCCCCGUCAAUUCCUUUGAGUUUCAGUCUUGCGACCGUACUCCCCAGGCGGCGAACUUAACGCGUUAGCUUCGGCACUGAGGAAUCACUUCCCCAACACCCAGUCGACAUCGUUUAGGGCGUGGACUAC
rnacentral:misc_RNA from 1 species